GCAGAGGCGCCGGCGAUGCCGCCGGGGGCGGGGCCGGCUGAGGGAGGCACAAAGAUGGCGGCGGGUGCGGCGGGAGUUGUUGCCAUGGCGGCCCGCGGGAGGGCCCCCGCCGACGGGACGCUGUGUCCGGCCGCCGGGCGCAGGGGGCUGUGAGCAGGCCCCGCCAUGCCCCAGGCCUCGGAGCACCGCCUGGGCCGCGCCAGGGACCCCGGCGCCGUGGUGACCGCGCAGCCCCGGGCGGGCUCCCGCCUGCCCAGCGGGCACCGAGCGCUGAGCCAGGAGCGCCAUGCGGCCCCCAACGGGCUGUCCCCGGCCCCCAAACUGCGCCUGCUGCCCCCCCGGCCCCCGCCGCCCC